GAUGAACGCUGGCGGCGUGCUUAACACAUGCAAGUCGAACGGGAUCGGCUGGAGCUUGCUCCGGCCGUGAGAGUGGCGAACGGGUGAGUAAUGCGUGACCGACCUGCCCCAUACACCGGAAUAGCUCCUGGAAACGGGUGGUAAUGCCGGAUGCUCCAGUUGACCGCAUGGUCCUCUGGGAAAGCUUUUGCGGUAUGGGAUGGGGUCGCGUCCUAUCAGCUUGAUGGCGGGGUAACGGCCCACCAUGGCUUCGACGGGUAGCCGGCCUGAGAGGGCGACCGGCCACAUUGGGACUGAGAUACGGCCCAGACUCCUACGGGAGGCAGCAGUGGGGAAUAUUGCACGAUGGGCGCAAGCCUGAUGCAGCGACGCCGCGUGCGGGAUGACGGCCUUCGGGUUGUAAACCGCUUUUGACUGGGAGCAAGC
rnacentral:rRNA from 1 species